rnacentral:rRNA from 1 species
CUUGACACUGAACACUGGUCCUUGAUGUGUAGGAUAGGUGGGAGGCUUUGAAGCGUGGACGCCAGUCUGCGUGGAGCCAACCUUGAAAUACCACCCUUUAAUGGCUGGUGUUCUAACGUAGACCCGUAAUCCGGGUUGCGGACAGUGUCUGGUGGGUAGUUUGACUGGGGCGGUCUCCUCCCAAAGAGUAACGGAGGAGCACGAAGGUUGGCUAAUCCUGGUCGGACAUCAGGAGGUUAGUGCAAUGGCAUAAGCCA